rnacentral:siRNA from 1 species
AGCAUAAGCCGCCGCCUCGGCCA